rnacentral:rRNA from 1 species
CUACGGGGGGCACCAGUCGAGAAUUUUCUGCAAUGCGCGCAAGCGUGACAGAGCGAGCCAGAGUGUUUUUCAAUUUGAAAAACUUUUGCCAGCUGUAAAAAUGCUGGCGAAUAAGGACUGGGCAAGACCGGUGCCAGCCGCCGCGGUAAUCCCGGCAGUCCAAGUUGCAGCCAGCUUUAUUGGGUCUAAAACAUCCGUAGCUUGUUUUAAAAGUUUCUUGUGAAAUCUUAACUCUUAAGGUUAAGGAUGGCAGGAAAUACUCUGAAACUAGAGACCGGAAGGCGCAAGAAGUACGAUUAGGGUAGUGGUAAAAUAUGUUAAUCCUAAUUGGACUAACAAUCGCGAAGGCAUCUUGCGAGGACGGUUCUGACAGUGAGGGAUGAAGGCUAGGGUCGCGAAAAGGAUUAGAUACCCUAGUAGUC